rnacentral:rRNA from 1 species
AUUGAACGCUGGCGGAAUGCUUUACACAUGCAAGUCGAACGGCAGCACGGACUUCGGUCUGGUGGCGAGUGGCGAACGGGUGAGUAAUGUAUCGGAACGUGCCCAGUCGUGGGGGAUAACGUAGUGAAAAUUACGCUAAUACCGCAUACGAUCUAUGGAUGAAAGCGGGGGAUCGCAAGACCUCGCGCGCUUGGAGCGGCCGAUAUCAGAUUAGGUAGUUGGUGGGGUAAAGGCCCACCAAGCCAACGAUCUGUAGCUGGUCUGAGAGGACGACCAGCCACGCGAGAACUGGGACACGGUCCAGACUCCUACGGGAGGCAGCAGUGGGGCAUUUUGGACAAUGGGCGAAAUCCGGAUCCGGACAUUCCGCGUGCAGGAUGAAGGCCCUCGGGUUGUAAACUGCUUUUGUACAGAACGAAAAGGUUUCUACUAAUACUAGGAGCUCAUGACGGUACUGUAAGAAUAAGCACCGGCUAACUACGUGCCAGCCGCCGCAGUAA